rnacentral:tRNA from 1 species
GCCAAACUCCACUCCAGCAGCAAAAGGCCCUCGGAGGUUUCAUCAGAGAUGCUUGCAAGCGUUGAGAAGGAGCUGAGCA